AUUGAACGCUGGCGGCAUGCCUAACACAUGCAAGUCGAACGGCGGCACAGCAGUGGCAAUACUGUGGGUGGCGAGUGGCGGACGGGUGAGGAAUACGUCGGAAUCUGCCCAGUCGUGGGGGGAUAACUAGCCGAAAGGUUAGCUAAUACCGCAUACGACCGAGAGGUGAAAGCGGGGGGACCGCAAGGCCUCGCGCGAUUGGAUGAGCCGACGUCGGAUUAGCUAGUUGGCGGGGUAAAGGCCCACCAAGGCGACGAUCCGUAGCUGGUCUGAGAGGAUGAUCAGCCACACUGGAACUGAGACACGGUCCAGACUCCUACGGGAGGCAGCAGUGGGGGAAUAUUGGACAAUGGGCGCAAGCCUGAUCCAGCAAUGCCGCGUGUGUGAAGAAGGCCUUCGGGUUGGUUAAAGACGACUUUAAUCUAGGACGAAAGACG
rnacentral:rRNA from 1 species